GACGAACGCUGGCGGCGUGCCUAACACAUGCAAGUCGAACGGGAUCCAUGGAGUGCUUGCACUCCGGAAGAUCUAGUGGCGAACGGGUGAGUAACACGUGAGAAACCUGCCCCAGACUCUGGGAUAACCUCGGGAAACCGAAGCUAAUACCGGAUAUUCUCCUUUGGUCGCAUGGCCAGUUGAGGAAAGUUUUUCGGUCUGGGAGGGUCUCGCGGCCUAUCAGCUAGUUGGUGGGGUAACGGCCCACCAAGCCAACGAUCUGUAGCUGGUCUGAGAGGACGACCAGCCACACUGGAACUGAGACACGGUCCAGACUCCUACGGGAGGCAGCAGUGGGGAAUUUUGGACAAUGGGCGCAAGCCUGAUCCAGCCAUGCCGCGUGAGUGAAGAAGGCCUGGUGUAAGACUCUUCGUUGGAGAAGUUAGACUGGUUAUACUACGUGUAGAUGACGGUACCACGCAUAAGAAGACACCGGACGUAACUACGUAGCCAGCAGCCG
rnacentral:rRNA from 1 species